UGAAACCGUUACUACGUAGCCAAAGUGAAUGUAUAUUUACUUGGAAUGUAUAUUCACUCUCUCUGAAGAACUUUGGAAUCAAUUGGGAGACACUGGCAUGUGACCGCCCAGCAUGGCAUGGCCUCAUCAAAGAAGCAUGAAGAACGACAACCACCAACCAAUUUGGAAGGGAGGGGACCCUCUAGCUGACAUGGUGGCAAUUCGGAGUCUCUGGAUGGAGGGGAAGGAGAAUCCUUCUUUAGUCCCUGUGGAGGAGGAGGGCAGCCUCUCCACCCAAGCCCAGAAGAGGACAAAGACUUUAUAUCAUUUUCUUGGUGAAAUUCUCAAAGGGAAAGAUUUUGGUGGAUAAGCCAGGGAAUACUGAGUUGGUGGCAAUAUUUUGAAAGACUGGAUAUCAAUUUAGAAAGGAUGCAUACAAGGAGCUGAUGAUCUCUUAGUCAUUUUACUAUAGAUGACCCUGAUGCCUGGUGAAAAAUUGUUGCCUGUGUUGAAGCGUCAUCAUCUGUGCUCUUAUCAUCUAUUGUUCUUGAUACUACUCUUAUUCAUCAUCACUACCUUACAUCAGGAUGAGAAUCUGUGACUAACCUGGAUUUGUCCCUGAUACUAUGUUCCUGAUACUCAUGGCAUUCUUCUGCCUCACUGUCACCAUCUUGCAUUAGAAGACCUACUGUAAGCUGUAAAAAUCUGGCAUUAUCCAUCACAUGGUUGAGAUCACUGAGAUCUUUGACUGAUUUUUCCAAAGGGAGGAGGAAAAGCCAAAUAUUUCUGGCUUUUGUUCUCCACAUUUUGUCUUUCUUUCUUUCUUUUUUAUUAUGGUGGCUCUUUAGGGGUGCCAUAGUUCUCCCUAUGCCAGGAAUAUUGUCCAGUAAGAGCCCUAAAAGCAUCUAAAUGGUGUAAGGUCCUCUAUUAGAUUCUUUGGACCUUGCCACCAUGGGGUGGUAUGUGAUAGGACCAGUAUCCAGCAGGGCUCCUCCUUCCCCUGCCUCAAUGUGAGUUAGGCUAGAUCUCCCCUAAAUGUCACCUGGUCACCUAGAAGCAUAAAAGGGGGAUAGGGAUAGGAACCCUUCAGAUUUGGUGUUUGCCAAGUCAUGCUAUACCCUGCCCUGCUGACCAGAUAUUUUUCCAUGUGGAGAUAAGUUGAGUGAUGACUAUCCCAACUAAGUGGUACUGUAUAUCUUUGCUAUGCUAAGAUUAAGAAAAUCUCCUUUUGUUCAGUGGCCUUACUCUGUCUCAGUAUCAAACCUGAACUAAUAGGGUCCUAGCAUCAAACAGUAUUUUUGUAUGUUUUUUAAAAAUUGUUGCUUCUCUGUUUUAAUUUUUUUUUGGUCACAUGUCUGAUUCGUUAAUCUCUUAUUUCAUUCUGUUGUUGAAAGUGUUUAGAGAUACACAUUUUCUCCUAAGGUCUCCUUUGACGAUAUCUGAAAAAAUUCAGUAUGUAGCAGUAUUGUUAUCAUUUUUUAAAUGAAAUUAUUCAUUAUUUCUGUGAUUUGUUCUUUGACCCAUUCAUUCUUUAAAACCUCAUUUAGUUCCAUGUAAGUCUUAAUCCCUUCUUUGAAUAAUUAUAUUUAUUAUAAUUUUGUUAAAUUAU